AAUGAAAGUAAAAGUAAAAUUUUAUUUUCUAAAGGAAGAUGUGCAAUUUAAAAAAAAAAAAUUGCAUCGCAUUCCUGGGGCGCUUUAAAUUCUUAAUUGAAUUGAGGCGCACCAAUAGCGUACACAAUAAUACCCGAAAGAUGGUGAACUAUGCCUGGCCAGGACGAAGCUAGGGGAAACCCUGGUGGAGGUCCGAAGCGAUUCUGACGUGCAAAUCGAUCGCCGGAGCUGGGUAUAGGGGCGAAAGACCAAUCGAACCAUCUAGUAGCUGGUUCUCUCUGAAGUUUCCCUCAGGAUAGCUAACGCUUAUGAUACAAAGAAUCUCAUCCGGUAGAGCGAAUGAUUAGAGGUAUUGGGGUCGAAACGGCCUCAACCUAUUCUCAAACUCCAAAUAG
rnacentral:rRNA from 1 species